AUUGAACGCUGGCGGCAGGCCUAACACAUGCAAGUCGAGCGGCAGCGGGAAAGUAGCUUGCUACUUUUGCCGGCGAGCGGCGGACGGGUGAGUAAUGCCUGGGAAAUUGCCCAGUCGAGGGGGAUAACAGUUGGAAACGACUGCUAAUACCGCAUACGCCCUACGGGGGAAAGCAGGGGACCUUCGGGCCUUGCGCGAUUGGAUAUGCCCAGGUGGGAUUAGCUAGUUGGUGAGGUAAUGGCUCACCAAGGCGACGAUCCCUAGCUGGUCUGAGAGGAUGCACAGCCCCACUGGAACUGAGACACGGUCCAGACUCCUACGGGAGGCAGCAGUGGGGAAUAUUGCACAAUGGGGGAAACCCUGAUGCAGCCAUGCCGCGUGUGUGAAGAAGGCCUUCGGGUUGUAAAGCACUUUCAGCGAGGAGGAAAGGUUGAUGCCUAAUACGUAUCAACUGUGACGUUACUCGCAGAAGAAGCACCGGCUAACUCCGUGCCAGCAGCCGCCGUAAGAC
rnacentral:rRNA from 1 species